GACAGCAGCCGCCGCGGUAAUACGAGGGGUGCAAGCGUUAUUCGGAUUGAUUGGGUGUAAAGGGUGUGCAGACGGCUUAUUAAGUCACUUGUUAAAUUCUUCGGCCUAACUGAAGGUCUGCAAGUGAUACUGAUGAGCUGGAGGGUGGAAGAGAGAAGUGGAAUUCUCGGAGUAGCGGUAAAAUGCGUAGAUCUCGAGAGGAACACCAAUGGCGAAGGCAGCUUCCUGGUCCAUUCCUGACGUUCAUACACGAAAGCGUGGGGAGCAAACAGGAUUAGAUACCCCGGUAGUCCCUGUCUCUUAUAA
rnacentral:rRNA from 1 species